CCUACGGGAGGCAGCAGUGAGGAAUAUUGGUCAAUGGACGAAAGGCUGAACCAGCCAAGCCGCGUGAAGGAUGAAUGCCCUAAGGAUUGUAAACUUCUUUUAUAUGGGAAUAAAAUGUGCCACGUGUGGGAUUUUGUAUGUACCAUAUGAAUAAGGAUCGGCUAACUCCGUGCCAGCAGCCGCGGUAAUACGGAGGAUCCGAGCGUUAUCCGGAUUUAUUGGGUUUAAAGGGAGCGUAGGUGGAUUGUUAAGACAGUUGUGAAAGUUUGGGGCUCAACCGCGAAAUUGCCGUUGAAACUGGCAGUAUUGAGUACAGGAGAGGUGUGCGGAAUUCGUGGUGUAGCGGUGAAAUGCUUAGAUAUUACGAAGAACUCCGAUUGCGAAGGCAGCUUACUGGAGUGCAACUGACACUGAGGCUCGAAAGUGUGGGUAUCAAACAGGAUUAGAUACCCCAGUAGUC
rnacentral:rRNA from 1 species